rnacentral:rRNA from 1 species
AUUGAACGCUGGCGGCAGGCCUAACACAUGCAAGUCGAACGAGUGGCGGCCGGGGGGGUAUGUUCUGGGAAACUCCCCGAGGGAGGGGGUUACCUAUGGGAAACGGUGGCUAAAACCCCUAACACCCGGUUGUGCCCAGAUGGGUUUAGCUAGUGGGGGGGGAAACGGCUCACCUAGGCGACGCUCCCUAGCUGGUCUGAGAGGAUGACCAGCCACACUGGAACUGAGACACGGUCCAGACUCCUACGGGAGGCAGCAGGGGGGAAUAUGGCACAAUGGGCGCAAGCCUGAUGCAGCCAUGCCGCGUGUAUGAAGAAGGCCUUCGGGUUGUAAAGUACUUUCAGCGAGGAGGCGUUACUCGCAGAAGAAGCACCGGCUAACUCCGUGCCAGCAGCCGCGGUAAUUC